rnacentral:rRNA from 1 species
UACGGAGGGUGCGAGCGUUGUCCGGAAUCACUGGGCGUAAAGGGCGCGUAGGUGGCCUGUGGAAGUCUGCGGUGAAAGCCCGGCGCUCAACGCCGGGUCGGCCGUGGAUACUCUCGGGCUCGAGCUUACUAGAGGCAGAUGGAAUUCCGGGUGUAGCGGUGGAAUGCGUAGAGAUCCGGAAGAACACCGGUGGCGAAGGCGGGUCUCUGGGCGAGUAACUGACGCUGAGGAGCGAAAGCGUGGGGAGCGAACAGG